rnacentral:tRNA from 1 species
GCCCAAGUGGCGGAACGGUAGACGCAGGGGAUUCAAAAUCCCCCGCCGCAAGGCGUGUGGGUUCGAUUCCCACCUUGGGCA